UAUCUCCCUUGUGUUGAAUAUUUCCAUUAUAUACUUUUAAGCAAAACAAAGUAAACAUUCACGCAUUUUAAUUAAGUAAAAAUGAGUACAGUUUUGCAGGAAGGACUUUCCAAAAACUUUGCCAGCGUGCAUGUUUCAAUUGUGGAGUGUCCUGACCUAACAUCAGCACCAUUCAACCUGUCAGCACCAGGUCUGUGUGGCAAUGCUCGACUUGUAGACAUCAGCUGUCCAUCCUAUCUCUUCCCAUAUGCCCAACGAGACUAGGUACUGGUGAUUUAGUUUUGCUGUUAGCUAUGCAAGUUUGUCCCAAACCCUGACAGGCAGAGACGUUGGAUGUCAUGUUUUCACACCUGAAGGCUUGAAGGGGCCUUUCACAGAUUUUGGUUGGAGACUACAUGAGACUUUGACAGAUGGCGGGAAACCCUCAUCCACUGGUAGAGGAAUGUUUGCGACUAAACCGAGGGCCAUUGGAUAAGGGUUGUCGAUGGCAAAACAGAGUGUUUGCCACCUGACUGCUUGUGUCUGUAGUCAUAGAUCGAAUCUUCAAGCUAAACAACACUAUCCAGAUCCGCAUCCUUUGGUAGCAGCUUAAGGUGGUUCACAUGGACGAGCAGUUGAGUACAUCAAGGAGCACGGCUGUAGUCAUCGAAGAAUGCUAGACUCUUCUUUGGUUGUCCUUGGCAGUAGAAAGCCAGGUUGUCCACUGGGAUACAACACUGAACAAUUGAUGCAGAAGAACAACCCCAUUCAGUUAGAUGGCAUCCUGAAGACUUCAUAGUGUGUGUGCAGAGAUCACUACAGUGUAUCAGGCAAGCUUUUAAUGAUGACAAAAAUCAGCACAUACAAAAGGAUUGAUCCUGCUGGGGUACUUCUAGAGGGGUAUUAAGCAUCAGAGACCUCAUCCUGUACCUUGACUGGGCACUUCAGCCCUUCCAAAGUAGCCCUAUGUUAGUGGAAGCAGUCCCCAGAGAUGACUUAAUUAUGAAGUUUCUUUCAAAUGGAAGGCAGCUUGCAUGUAAAAUAAUAUUGCUUAAGGUAAGCGACCAGUAUUAGCAACAGUAACAUUUUGUUGUAUUCUUAUGAGUUGGUCAAUGGUGGAACUACCAUUUUUUUUA